AAAAUGAUUUCAGAAACUUUAGGUGCAUCCCCAAUACCUGGGCUGUCCUAUGUUGACCCACACCACUUCUCUAUCCAUACAGGUCAGCCCAAGUCUUCUCCCUCACUCACUAUAUUUCCACCCUCCUCUUAGGAGCUACAGACCAACAAGGCCACUCUGGUGUGUCUGAUCAAUGACUUCUACCCAGUUCCGUGACUGUGGCCUAGAAGGCAGAUAGUACCACAAUCACCCACGGUGUGGAUACUACCCAGCUCUCUAACUGGACCAACAACAAGUACAUGGGCAGCAGCUACCUGACCAUCAUGCCUGACAAGUGGACAUCUCAUGAAAGCUUUAGCUGCCAGGUCACAAAUGAAGGAAACACUGUGGAGAAGAGUGUGUCUCCUGAAGGAUGUUCUUAACCUUUUGUCCCUAACCCCCCACCCUCAUGAUCCUGGAAGUGAAGGACCCUGGUGAGGGACCCCUCCUUUUCCUAGUCUUCCUACUGAGCGCUUCUCUCUGAACCUACUGACUGCUUAAUAAAAU
rnacentral:lncRNA from 1 species